AACGAACGCUGGCGGCAUGCCUAACACAUGCAAGUCGAACGAGACCUUCGGGUCUAGUGGCGCACGGGUGCGUAACACGUGGGAAUCUGCCCUUUGCUUCGGAAUAACAGUUAGAAAUGACUGCUAAUACCGGAUGAUGUCGAAAGACCAAAGAUUUAUCGGCAAAGGAUGAGCCCGCGUAGGAUUAGGUAGUUGGGGGGGUAAAGGCCUACCAAGCCGACGAUCCUUAGCUGGUCUGAGAGGAUGAUCAGCCACACUGGGACUGAGACACGGCCCAGACUCCUACGGGAGGCAGCAGUGGGGAAUAUUGAAAAAUGGGCGAAAGCCUGAUCCAGCAAUGCCGCGUGAGUGAUGAAGGCCUUAGGGUUGUAAAGCUCUUUUACCAGGGAUGAUAAUGACAGUACCUGGAGAAUAAGCUCCGGCUAACUCCGUG
rnacentral:rRNA from 1 species